CAAUAGCGUAUAUUAAAGUUGUUGCAGUUAAAAAGCUCGUAGUUGGAUUUCUGGUGGGAGCGAUCGGUCUGGCGCUUAGCGCGAGUACUUGCAUCGUCUCCGGCCAUCCUUGGGGAGAGUCUGUCUGGCAUUAAGUUGUCGGGCAGAGGAUCCUCAUCGUUUACUGUGAAAAAAUUAGAGUGUUCAAAGCAGGCUUAUGCCGUUGAAUAUAUUAGCAUGGAAUAAUAAGAUAGGACUUUGGUACUAUUUUGUUGGUUUGCGCACCAAAGUAAUGAUUAAUAGGGACAGUUGGGGGUAUUCGUAUUCCGUUGUCAGAGGUGAAAUUCUUGGAUUUACGGAAGACGAACUACUGCGAAAGCAUUUACCAAGGAUGUUUUCAUGAA
rnacentral:rRNA from 1 species